GUUUAAUUUAGCAGAAUUAUUGAAUUCAUAUAUCAGCAAGGUUCAAAUGUUUUUUCAGAGACACAAAUCUAAAUUAUUGUGUUAGUGUCACUUUAUUGUGCAGUGUUCAGAAGUCUCGAAUUGGAGGUACUCUCCAGAUCCCUAAAGCACUUAAGCUUGCUGAAAACCUCUAUAUGUGAAGAGUGUGUCCUCUUUUACUUGUUUUUCUUGCGAAAAGUGCAGAUUUCAGUAGAAAAUGUCCCUUUCUAAAUGUACCUGGUUACACCCAGGGCCGGCGCUACCUGUAAGGCGACCUAGGAAUCACCGGUGCAGCUCCUCAUGCUGCGCCGCCUGAGUACUUUUGCAAGCCUCAGGCGGCGCAGCACUGCUGUAUGGAGGGCGGCCGGAUUUGAGUGACCGGCAGGAGGGAAGCGCAAAGCGCUUCCUCCUGCUGGUCUCUCAAUGUAGCGUGGCCAGGCGGCGCGGGACAGGAACCUCUGUUUCCUGUACCCGGCUGCCGUCCGACUGAGAGGAAGUGCUCACUCAGUCAGCGCUUCCCUUCAGUCCACCGGCAGCCGGGUACAGGAAACAGAAGUUCGCGUUCCGAAGCUACAUAGGCAGGAAGGAAGAGGAGGGUAAGGACCACUAGGGGAGGGAGGGG